rnacentral:tmRNA from 1 species
GGGGCUGAUUCUGGAUUCGACGGGAUUUGCGAAACCCAAGGUGCAUGCCGAGGGGCGGUUUGCCUCGUUAAAAGCCGCAAAAAAAUAGUCGCAAACGACGAAAACUACGCUUUAGCAGCUUAAUAACCUGCUCUGAGCCCUCUCUCCCUAGCUUCCGCUCUUAAGACGGGUUCAACUCCCGCCAGCUCCACCA